ACACGAGCGCUUCCUCGCCGAGAGGCUGGAGCUGCGGCAGCGCAGGCCUGGGCCGCCGUGUCUCUGCCGCUCGCUUCAGUUUUCCUCAGGGCUCUGGGGGCCGCUCGUCCGCCGACGCGCCUCAGGAAUUUAACAAGAAACUGAAGUUUUGAUUCAAAUAUUUUUUGAAUUGAAGCCAGAAAUGUACUAAGAUUUUGAUUCUUUCAUUUGAUUAAGGAUGGCACCAAACUUGAGAGAAGAUGUUCUGUGAGAACUUACUGCCAUCAGCACAUGUAGACUUCCUAGGAAAGCUCAUACUGUGAAGUCCCCCUGUGCGGGAACCAUGCAGAGCAAACACAUCAUUAGGCUCUUUUUCUUAGCUUUCCUAAUGAGUGGAGAAAUCUCAGACCUGCAGAGGCCUGCAGCUCCUUUCUGAACUGAUUUAUUUACAUAGCUUAUGCUUAGUUUAACACAUUGCUUAGAAGCAAGCAGAGAGCCUUUCCCUUCAGUGCUGUACACUACUUCAAAGAAGAAUUUAGUGCCACUGCAGUGUUGCUUUUCUGGAUGCAAAGCAGCCCUUCGCUCCUCCUUAUGCUGCUAUUGGAGAAAGUUAAGCUGAAGACCUUAGAGACUCUUAAAGGGCAGACCUGGUACACAGUGCUGCUCUUUGUCUCUUCACAAGCCAUGAGCAAGUAUUCCGUUCUUACCUAGUUGGCAGAGAUACAUAGUGAUUUGGAACCAGAUAAUAUGAUAUUGUGGCCUGGUGGAAAGAGCUUAACCCUUCGAGGUCAGAUAAAUAAAUGUUAGUAUAAACCCUACCAUGUAUAUAACACAGUAUAUAUGAGGAAUGCAUUUUUUUCCUGUAACUUCCCCUUCCUUUAAAAAUAGAGAAUACAAAACAAUCUUUUUGAUUUGUUGAGGAUUUUUAACCCAGACAUGCCUUGAUAAACAGGGGUAACAAGAUUACUAUUGUGUGUUGAGUGUUGCAGCUGAUUCUUAGCAGCAAUUUGGGGUGAUGGGAAGACGAAGUUGCUUCAGUAACAGCCUGGUAAAGUAGACUGAAGGGUAUGUAACUACCCACACUGUCAAGAGCAAGCCUUCUUGGUUUCUGGAUGAGACAUGUUUCAGCUUACUAUUUAUGGCUAACAGUGACUAUUGUAGCAGGAAUUGAUAGCAACAAAAUAUAUAAGUAAAAUUGCCCUGCACCUUCAAUUUAGAGAAUGCCAACAAAUUUAUAAUAAUCUCAGAAAGACUUAGCAAUUUAUAGUCUUACUAAAAUGUUCUUCGAAGUCUACUGUACAGUCCUUAUGGAAUAAGGCUCUCUUCUUGCUUGUAAGCAAUGUGUCAAUCUAAGCAUAUGCUAUGCAAAAUUAAAAUUAUUAAUUAAAUUCAUAUUUCACUGUGUGGUUGUUAUGAGCUUAUUGUAAUUGAGAUAUAAAAAAGAGGUAUUUGGAGAGGAGGUGGUUAAUUUGUGCAUCGGAAAGACUUUACCCUGGCUUGCUCCCCAUGUCCAUGUUCUGCUUCUGAAUCAUUGAACCCUGCUGUGGUUUUUUUGGUUUUGUUUUGUUUUAGGUCUUUUGUUUUUAACUUAGCACAUUGCUGUCUGGAACAAAAGGUAUUUCUCAGUCUUCCUUUCAACUUGAGGUAGCCAUGUUUCUGAGGUUUGGCUAAUGAGGUGUCAGGAGUGUUAUGUGAAACUGAAGGGAUGUCUCAUUAAAGGGAACUGAUUCCACACAAAGAUGUGCUCUUUUGCCCUUGGGCCUUUCUGCUGCUUCCUGGGCUGCAAUGCAGACAUAAAGCAGAGGCUUCAGUAGCUUUCUUGGGUCAUAGGUUGAUAUAAAAAGAUUAAAAGUUGCUAUGUCCUUGAUGAGCAUGUAGCUACUUCAAUGUUUCAGACUGUAUACUUUUGGGUUUCUUUUAUGUGAAUAAAAAGUAACAAUGGCUAGGACAUAUGGUGUCUGUUUCUAACAGUAUAACCCAGCCCUCACAGACCACAGUGUUGCUGGGCACAGGUAUCUGAUUCCCUCUAACCCCUCCUCUAGGUGCUGUUGAAAUGAAACCAGCACAGCACAGCACAGCACAGCACAGCACAGCACAGCACAGCACAGCACAGCACCAUAUGCUUGAAAUACUGAAAUGUCAAGAAAUUUCAACUGAACACUUGAUAUUCACACUGAAAGGAACCAGACCCUGAAAUAAAUGGCUAUUUCAGGUCUUGCACAGAAAGUUACAUGAUGAACCUAGGAUGUCUUGUCAUGAAAAAUAGCAGAGAAGCUAUCAAAAGCCAUUGAGGUUGUUUGAAAGGACUUAGAGCCAAUUUGAAAAGAGUGACAUUGGCUAAAGUUAGAAUAACUUGAGCAUUAAACACCAGUAACUAUAGUAAAUUGAAAUUCAUCAAAGCUCUGAGCUUCUGUGUUGCCUUUUUAAAGGCUUUUUGCUUAUUUUAGAGGUUAUUAAACAACCAAUUCAUUAUUUUUAUAAUUGCUAAAUAAAAAAAAUCAGUAAUUACUUUCCUGUACAACUAUAUAUUGUCAAGCUAAGCAAAUAGUAAGGCAAGGUUUUCUUUUCUGAGGUGUUCCAGCUAAUGCAUUGAGAAGGACUGAUAAAGUGAUAGGCGAACUGCUAAUGGAGAGCUUUCUAGUGGCUGUGUGGGGCUGGAAGCACCUACCUGCACAUACAGGUUAAUUUUACUAUCACAGAGAUAGUUCUACAUCAUAUAUACCCUGAAUAAAUUUCAUACCUCUAUCAUGAAUUACUCCCGUUGAACAAAAAUUAAACCCUACUCUUAUCAAACCUCUAGAUCUAGCUGCUGAUUUAACAGAAGUACUGGAGACAGGAUUCUGCAACAGUUCCAAAAACAAAAGACAACACACCAUUGAAUACAAGGCAAAAACAUUGACUUUUAAUGGAUUUAUUUUGUUGACAGCUUUAUGCAUGUAUAUAAUGCAUUCUGAUAACUCUCUCCCCUGCCUUGUUAAAUGUCCUCCUCCUUCCAGUCAGUCCUUUUCCCAGAUUCAUAAUGUUUUGAUUUGUAACCCAAUUAGCUAAACCAAGGCAAGUUGUGAUCAUUAGAUUGGAACUAUCCCUUGGAGCCUGGAGGAGUCACCCAUGCAUUAAUAACUGAAGAGAGUAAUUACCUCUCUCCAUGAGGCUAGCAGUCAAUGGGUAGAGACCCCUGAGCUUCUCCAUCAUCUAUGCCCCAUUGAUGCUAGGCCCAUUCUUGUGCAGACCCAGUACAGGCAUCUGUAGUUGCUGUGAGUUCACAGUGGCAAUGGCUAAUGUGUCUUGUCUACGAGAUAACAUCCAUAGUUCUUCUUCCUAUCUUCUGGCUCUUCCAUUCUUUGCACCACUCUUCCACAAUGCUCCCUGAGUCUUAGAGGUAAUAGAAAGAUAUAAAUUAAAAGAGUGUAGAAGGAAUGAGCACUUACCCAUCACUUGGCAGCACCAUAUACAGCCAUGAUUCUACAUCACAUUCCCUGAAAAUAGCCUUCUCUGAUUAAGGCCAAGAGUAGCAGUGGUCUCUGGGUAUAAACGUCAAUGUUUAGACUUGACACAAUGUCAGUUUAGCUGGACAGCAGUAUUCAGCUUCCCCCCAGAGCCUCUGAUCUCUCCUACCAUGGAUUUUUCACCAGGUUUACCGUACCAGACAUGGAUUCCAUCCUAUGGGAUAGGUCUUUAAUCAGGGAGCAGUUGGUACCUUCCUAACAGUAGUGAUAUAGAUAGAAAGGUACAGCUUACCUGGCAAGUUGCUCUUGUAGUUCACAGGAUUCACAGCUAGGUAAGUUCACUGAUGCCUUUUCUCCCCUGGGAGACUGUGUAGUUCCUUCUUCCAGCUCGGUUCUACCUUGAUUUCUCCAUAACAAACGCAUAUACUCCAUAUAAGAGUUUACUUCACAGAAAUUUUAGAAAGCAUUUCUCCUCCCCCUCCCCCUCCUGUGUCUGUCUACCUAUCUACCUAUUUUUGUUUUUUUGAGAUAGGAUUUCUCUGUCCUGGAACUUGCUCUGUAGACCAGACUAGCCUCAAACUCAGAGAUCCAUCUGCCUCUGUCCCCACCCCAGUGUUGAGUUUAAAGGCAUGCACCAUCACCACCUGCUGGAAAUCAUUUCUUAGGCUUACGUAUGUACUCACUGAUAAGUGGAUAUUAGGCCAAAAGCUCCGAAUACCCAUGAUACAACUCACAGACCAUAUGAAGCUCAAGAAGAAGGAAGAACAAAGUGUAGGUACUUUGGUCCUACUUAAAAUGGGGAACAAAAUAAUCAUGGGAGGUAGAGUGAGGGAGAGAAGAUGGGGGAGAGAAAGGGGAACAGGAUCAGAUGUGGGAGGAGACAGGGGAGAAGUACAGAGGGUCAGGAAAUUGACCAGAGGUGUGUAGCAGUAGGGGAUAGGGAACCGGGGGUAGCCACUAGAUUCCCAGAUGCCAGGGAAGCAAGAGAUUCCUAGGACCCAACGGGGAUGACAUUAGCCGAAAUACUGAACAAAGGGGAGAUAGAACCUGCAGAGACCAUAUCGGUCCCCUGUUGAGGGAUGGGGCCACCCACCCAUCUCAAAAAUAUUAACCCAGAAUUGCUCCUGUCUAAAGGAAAUACAGGGACAAAGAAUGGAGCAAAGACUGUAGGAAAGGCCAUCCAAAGACUGUCCCACUUGUGGAUCCAUCCCAUCUGCAGACACCAAACCCAGACACUCUUGCUGAUGCCAAGAAGCACUUGCUGACAGGAGCCGGGUAUAGCUGUCCCUUGAGAAGGGUCUGCCAGAGCCUGACCAGAUAGAGGUGCGGAUGCUUGCAGCUAACCGCCAAACUGAGCAUGGGGAUGCCAAUGAAGGAGUUAAGGGAAGGACCAAAGGAGCUGAAGGGGUUUGCAACCCCAUAGGAACAACAACAGUAUCAACCAACCAGAGCUCCCAAGGACUAAACCAACCAAAGAAUACACAUGAAGGUUGGGGGCGGGGGUGGAGGGAGAAUGACCCAUGACUCCAGCUGCAUAGGAAACCAGAGGAUGGCAUUAUCUGGCAUCAAUGGAAGGAGAGGCCCAGCAUAGGGGAAUGCAAGGGCGGGGAGGUGGGAGUGGAUGGGUGGGUGGAAGAGCACCCUCAUAGAAACAGGGUUGGGGAGGGAUGGGAUAAGGGGUUUGCAGAGGGGAAAUCAGGAAGGGGGAUAACAUUUGAAAUGUAAAUAAAUAAAAUAACCAAUUAUAAAAAGAGAGAAAAAUUGCAGAGAUCAUAGAUAUUGAAAAUGAAUUCACAAGGCAGUAAGGCUAAGAUGAAAAAAGAAUACUAGCUAAUAGAAAGAUAUAAAUUAAAAGAGUGUAGAUAAAAUAAGGACAAUAGGAUGGAAACUGUUUUUAAAAGCAUUAAGCAAUAGAGUAGACAUUGAAUUAUGCAGAGGCCAAAUUAAACUGCACCAGAAUAAAGAACACAUUCAAAAAUUGAAUUCAUGAUAUAGAAUACAAAUUUGAGAAGCUUUCCCAAAAUGCAAAUGAAAAGAGAUGUAAAAUAUUUGAAGAAAGUAAAGAGUAAAAAGAUGUAAUAUGUAGAAUUUAUAUUCUAGAGAGACCAGAGCAAGUUGAAUAGGGAUCGAUUUGUUAUUAAACACUGUAGGAAAAAGAUGGAGGAUUACUUGAUGAUAAUUCAAACAGGAGUAUUCUCUAACACUUGCUACGUUUAUUAAAUGAGGCAAACAAGCCUAUUCUGGUAUUCCUGUUUUAAAAUCAUCUUUAAAAAAUAUUAAAAACUUAAAAUUAAAAUCAUGCAUCUAA